GAAAGGUUGGCCGAGUGGUCUAAGGCGCCAGAUCAAGGCUCUGGUAUCGAUAGAUGCAUGGGUUCGAAUUCCAUACCUUGCG